GGCAGAUGUAACUUGUGGGACAGCAACAUCCAUUUUGUUUCCAGGUACUGACAAGGAAUGCAGAACCCACCGAGGAUGGCAGUGUGGAAACACAGGAGGUGCCAGCAUCACUGAGCAACUGACCAGGGGGACACGAUACGUGGAGCUGGGACAUGAGGUGACAACGUGAAGAAAGAACCCGGUCACACUGAGAAACCAGAAAUUGCUGAAAGUAUGAAGGAACCUGGGUCCUUGAUAACCCAGGGCUGACCUUGCAUCCACUUGUCACCAGGCUGGUGAGAUGGAGACAAGGACUAUCCUCAUGUGCUAAAUAGAAACUGGCCAAGUUUCUAUUAUGUGUGGGCAAAAAUCAUUCUCAACGAUUUUACACCUCUCUUGUUGGAAAGUAGACUAAAUUGAUUUAUAAAAUAAAUGAAGUAAACAUACA